CGAACCCUUUUCAAAAUUGCGGGCUAAUUAAGCCAGCAGUUUGCCACUUGCUGUUUAUUACUCGUCUACCAUGCGCAUUUACUAACAAUGCUGUUAACAUAUCUGUAGACUCAUGCUUCUACAACUCACAUACGGUAAAUGGACUAAAACAAGCUCACCUGCCAACCUGUGGUUUCAGGAGAGUUCGUUAGCCUUUAAUCAAAUGGCCUCAAAACUUUGAGCUGGAAGCCGCGUUUUCUGGCUAUGAAGUCUGCAGCGCCAGACCUAGUCCGAGAUCGCUGCUUCAGGUCAUCAAGGUAGACCUGCUUUGCAACCUAGACUAGAGCAAGAUGUUUCAGAGUGAAAUCUGACAGGUGGCUGGUGAAGGGGAACAAAGCGAGCCUCACACUGAGGACAGGGACAUACUGUGACAUUUUGUGUGUUCUGUGAAAGGCAGGAGGAGCUCUUUGAGAGCUUCUAGUUUUUUGCCACUUGUUGGCAAGAAGACCGUGUCAGUCCUCUUGGUUAGCUAACUCUGUUUUUUUUUUUUUGUUUGUUUGUUUUUUUUGACCAGAAAGAAGCAGGUAUCCAUAUUUACAGUGUUAGACCAUCUGGUUGGGCAGUCGCUGAGGAGAAACCACAUACUUCCUGCAGCUUCUCUGUAAAUUUGAGGAGUUUCGAAACAAUAGUUCUUGCUUUGUCUUGCAGUCUUUUACAUUGGCCUCCUCCUUGUGAGGCUCACAACUUGCUUUAGCUCAAAUUUACCCUAUAGCCUAUUUGUUUCUGUAAUGAAUGAAAAGCCAAAUGUCAGGCGGCUUUUGGCCAGGGAGCUUGGCAUCGUUUCAUUACAAACCGGAGGAUUCAUUAUGUACGCUGAUUGAGUUUUUGGCACCACUGAAUUUUACAUGAUGAUACAGUUAAUCCACCAUAGUGUGCAAAUGUCUGUCAAUCACUGGGUGAGGGAAAAAUUUGGCUUAUGAAUGGGUCGCAAAUUUGGCAACUGGAUCUGCUAGUACAUAAAGAUUAUUCGAUUGUGGUGAUAUUGAGAGAAAAACAUGAUUUAGUCACUUAUUUAUUUUGUCACAUUGUCAUCAGCCAUUACUGAGAGAAAACGGUUUUAGUCAGUUUUCAUUAUUGUUAUUUCUCCCAUUUACUAGUAAGUGAAUUUUAUUAAUAUAUCCCCAAAUCACAAACUAACUUGCUUCUUCUUAAAGAAUGAUGCAGUUUUGGUGUGAGAACAGGGGCAAUCACUGGCUACAAGUGUACAUGGAGUAAAUGAACAUUGUUAAGUGCACAGGCCAAUACAAAGGCAAGAUUUCAACUAAAGGUUAGGCAAGUUAAAUUUGAGAGGAAAAUGGCAAA